rnacentral:rRNA from 1 species
CCUACGUGUGGCAGCAGUGGGGAAUAUUGGACAAUGGGGGAAACCCUGAUCCAGCGACGCCGCGUGUGUGAAGAAGGCCUGCGGGUUGUAAAGCACUUUUAGUGGGGACAAAAAGCCACCGGCUAAUACCGGGUGGUCUUGAUUUAACUCACAGAAAAAGCACCGGCUAACUCUGUGCCAGCAGCCGCGGUAAUACAGAGGGUGCGAGCGUUAAUCGGAAUUACCGGGCGUAAAGCGCGCGUAGAGGGUUGAAAUCCCCGGGCUCAACCUGGGAACUGCAUUUGAUACUGCAUUGCUAGAGUACGGUAGAGGGAAGCGGAAUUUCCGGUGUAGCGGUGAAAUGCGUAGAUAUCGGAAGGAACACCAGUGGCGAAAGCGGCUUCCUGGACCAGUACUGACGUUCAUGUGCGAAAGCGUGGGGAGCAAACAGGAUUAGAUACCCCUGUAGUC